GGUGAGUAAUAUAUCGGAACGUACCCUGGAGUGGGGGAUAACGUAGCGAAAGUUACGCUAAUACCGCAUACGAUCUAAGGAUGAAAGUGGGGGAUCGCAAGACCUCAUGCUCGUGGAGCGGCCGAUAUCUGAUUAGCUAGUUGGUAGGGUAAAAGCCUACCAAGGCAUCGAUCAGUAGCUGGUCUGAGAGGACGACCAGCCACACUGGAACUGAGACACGGUCCAGACUCCUACGGGAGGCAGCAGUGGGGAAUUUUGGACAAUGGGCGAAAGCCUGAUCCAGCAAUGCCGCGUGAGUGAAGAAGGCCUUCGGGUUGUAAAGCUCUUUUGUCAGGGAAGAAACGGUGAGAGCUAAUAUCUCUUGCUAAUGACGGUACCUGAAGAAUAAGCACCGGCUAACUACGUGCCAGCAGCCGCGGUAAUACGUAGGGUGCAAGCGUUAAUCGGAAUUACUGGGCGUAAAGCGUGCGCAGGCGGUUUUGUAAGUCUGAUGUGAAAUCCCCGGGCUCAACCUGGGAAUUGCAUUGGAGACAGCAAGACUAGAAUCUGGCAGAGGGGGGUAGAAUUCCACGUGUAGCAGUGAAAUGCGUAGAUAUGUGGAGGAACACCGAUGGCGAAGGCAGCCCCCUGGGUCAAGAUUGACGCUCAUGCACGAAAGCGUGGGGAGCAAACAGGAUUAGAUACCCUGGUAGUCCACGCC
rnacentral:rRNA from 1 species